rnacentral:tRNA from 1 species
UAAAAAGAACCUAUAAUAGGGUUUAAUUUCGAAUUAAAUUUAGAUUUACAAUAUCCUUUUUAU